rnacentral:lncRNA from 1 species
GGUUGGAGGCAUGACAAAAAUCUACUAUCAUUCUCUACCAUAGAUGUCCAGGGUUCAUGACUCAUAAAUAGGGUCCACUACGGGUACACCUCCGGUUGAAGUAGAUCAUGGUUUAGACUCCUAAUGGUACACGCACAUCUUACCACUUCUUUCAACAAAAGCAAGUACAUAUGAAAAACAAAUAGCAAUAGGAUCAAAUAAAC